UCCAGACUCCUACGGGAGGCAGCAGUGGGGGAUAUUGCACAAUGGGGGGAAUCCUGAUCCAGCGACGCCGCGUGAGUGAAGAAGUAUUUCGGUAUGUAAAGCUCUAUCAGCAGGGAAGAAAGAAAUGACGGUACCUGACUAAGAAGCCCCGGCUAACUACGUGCCAGCAGCCGCGGUAAUACGUAGGGGGCAAGCGUUAUCCGGAUUUACUGGGUGUAAAGGGAGCGUAGACGGCGAUGCAAGUCUGAAGUGAAAGGCGGGGGCCCAACCCCCGGACUGCUUUGGAAACUGUAUAGCUGGAGUGCAGGAGAGGUAAGUGGAAUUCCUAGUGUAGCGGUGAAAUGCGUAGAUAUUAGGAGGAACACCAGUGGCGAAGGCGGCUUACUGGACUGUAACUGACGUUGAGGCUCGAAAGCGUGGGGAGCAAACAGGAUUAGAUACCCUUGUA
rnacentral:rRNA from 1 species